UACGGAGGGGGCUAGCGUUGUUCGGAAUUACUGGGCGUAAAGCGCACGUAGGCGGCUUUGUAAGUUAGAGGUGAAAGCCCAGGGCUUAACCCUGGAAUUGCCUUUAAGACUGCAUCGCUAGAAUCGUGGAGAGGUGAGUGGAAUUCCGAGUGUAGAGGUGAAAUGCGUAGAUAUCGGGAGGAACACCUGUGGCGAAGGCGGCCCCCUGGUUGGAUACUGACGCUGAUACGCGAAAGCGUGGGGAGCAAACAGG
rnacentral:rRNA from 1 species